UUUUUUUUUUUUAUUUUCUUUUUUGUUGUUCUUUAUGGUAAGAGGGAAUAUUAACAAACACACAACUCUUCCUCCCGAAAUAAAUAAAUAAAAAAAAAAGUAUCAGGACUUUU
rnacentral:ribozyme from 11 species